rnacentral:rRNA from 1 species
ACCUUCGGGCCUCAUGCCAUCAGAUGUGCCCAGAUGGGAUUAGCUAGUAGGUGGGGUAACGGCUCACCUAGGCGACGAUCCCUAGCUGGUCUGAGAGGAUGACCAGCCACACUGGAACUGAGACACGGUCCAGACUCCUACGGGAGGCAGCAGUGGGGAAUAUUGCACAAUGGGCGCAAGCCUGAUGCAGCCAUGCCGCGUGUGUGAAGAAGGCCUUCGGGUUGUAAAGC